UAGCUCAAUAGGUUAGAGUAACGGGCCUUUAACCCGUGGGUUCCACGUUCAAGUCGGGGGGGGUC
rnacentral:tRNA from 1 species